CUUUGUGAAUCAUCGAGUUCUUGAACGCACCUUGCACCUAGUGGUUUAUUCUACUAGGUACGGUUGUUUCAGUAUCACAAAACUCAACAACCUAUUCAUUAGUUUGAAUACGU
rnacentral:rRNA from 1 species